CCAUAAUAGUCCCAUUUCCUGAAGGAAAUUUCCAGCUCCACCAUGGUCUCUUUUGAAUCAUAGACUUUUGGUUUUGUUUGUUUUUUGAAGAAGACAUUUUGGUGAACUGUACCCAAGAUUAUCAAGACCCAUUAAACGGCAUUUUAAUUUUGGAGGAAAUGAUUUCAAUCUCAAUAUUUCAACCAAACAGCCUACAGCACAAACAUUUAAUUCACAUCGAACUGUCUUAAGUAAAGAGGUGGCUUACACAACUAUUAUUUAAGCUAUUAUUAAUAUUGACAUAGCACAAAAAGUACUAUAUAUUAUAAUAAUCAAGUUAUUAUCUGAAGUGCUCAGCAUUGUAUUCAUCUUUCAAUUAAAGUAGCAUUGAUCACAGAAAAUAAGAAAAUCAUAACAUAAUUCAUUUAUCAUUUAUGACAAACCUGCAUUUUUAGAGGAGGGGAGAUUGAUACCCCCUUCACAUGACAUUAUGAGAAUCCUGAUGUAAGGGUAAAAUGAAACAUCUAGUUUGGUCAUUUUGUAGUUGUUGUUUUCAGUAUUUUUCAAACAAGAGUCAUAAAAGUUGGAGAGAUUUUUAUCCAUUUGUUAUUCACUAUUAUUUUAAUUCCUUGAUGUGUGGGCACAUAUAUAUUGAAUUAUAUACAGUAUGAAGAGGGAGACGUAUAAGAACUUACAGACUUGCGUUGUCAAAUCACAGACUUAUGUUGGCCGGAAUCACUGGGUUGCUGUGAGUUUUCCAGGCUGUGUGGCCAUGUUCCAGAAGCAGUCUCUCCUGUUGUUUUGCAAACAUCUAUGGCAGGCAUCCUCAGAGGUUGUGGGGUCUGUAACUUUUCUGGUUGAAUUAGUCUGCAGUGUCUUUCAUGUUCCUUGAUUCGUGUUUGGGUGAUGUGUUUGGUGGUCCUUAUCUAGAGUUGCAUGGUAUACAGUAGACUUUUGCAGAGGUGGGAAACUUGGUGCCAUGGACAAGAACUAAACAAGUUCCUGGACCAUCUCAACAGCAUCCACCCAAACAUCCAAUUCACUAUGAAGAAAGAAAAUGAAGGAAAUUGCAAUUUCUAGAUGUUUUAGUCAUCCGCAAACCCAAUCAACAAUUAGAUCACACAGUUUACAGAAAACUUACACAUACGGAUAGAUACCUACAUUAAAUUCCAACCAUCACCCAAGUGAAAAAAAGAAGUACAAUCAAAGCCCUAGAAGACCAUAUAAAAAGAAUCUGCAAACCCCAUAUCCUCCAAGGUGUACUGAACUACCUAAACUGGGCUCUAUAGGCCAAUGGAGACUCCACCACAGACAUCAGAAGAGCUGCAAGAGCAAGAGCAAGCCGUGAGAGUAAAGACAAAGAUCCACCCAGAGGAAAAGUGCUCUUACCAUACAUCAAGGGAACCACUGACCGCAUAGGCAAGCUGAUAAAGAAACCCAACCUACAAACUAUCUACAGACCCACUAAGAAAAUCCAACAAAGGUUAUGUUCAGCAAAGAUGGAUUCCCCUCACCUCUGCAGGAGUCUACCGUAUACCAUGCAGUUGUGGACAAGUCUACAUCGAGACCACCAAACACAGCACCCAAACACGAAUCAAGGAACAUGAAAGGCACUGCAGACUAAUUCAACCAGAGAAGUAACAGACAUCACAACCUCUGAGGAUGUCUGCCAUAGAUGUGGGCGAAACAUCAGAAGAGAAUACUUACAGACUUUCCAAGUGAUUCAGGAUCAACCUAGACAGUGAGUGACACACAGAUAGAUACUUCUCAGCCUGUUUUAUUUUAAAUCAAACCACACAUUACUUUUCCCAUGACAUAUGGGCCUUUAAUCUUUCAUAGGGUCCUUUCACACUACACAGUCAUGGGUCUGUGAUUCCACUUUUAAUGCCAUGGCAGUAUCAAUGGCAUUCUGGGACUAGUUUUUUAGGAAGGAAUAUUUCAAAUUUUCUGUGAGAAAGGACCUUAUCAAAUGACAUACCAUAGGAUACUAUAGGACAUAGUCAAGGCAAUUAAAGUGGGAUGAGAGUACAAAAAAUAGUGCAGUGAAAGGGUCGAGAGGCUCUAACAGUUACACUGAAUUGCUGUUCAGCCAUGAAAAUCCACAGACCUUGGACAAGUCAUGCUAUCAGCCUCAGAGGAAGGCAACAGCCAGCCUCCUCUGAACUAUUCUUACCAAGAAAAGCCUAUGAUAGGUCCAUCUUAUGGUAGUUUUAAAUUUAGAACAACUUGAAGGCACACAACAAAAUGACCUUGUAAGUGUACCACUUUUGCCCACCCUUCCCCAGCCUACCUCAUCUUUGCCCAGAUACCCUCUGCAUCUCUCUAAAGUAGCAAUGUCUUUUGCAGCAAUAGAAUUUAGAUGCAAACCUAUGAAAAUGCUCAGUCUAUUUCCCUUGUCUUUGUUUCUUGCUCCUCAGUGGAGAGAAUUGUGGAUCUGCAAAUGCUUUGACUUUUCUCUGUAAAUGAAACCAGCGCAUCCUCACACGUUUCUUUCACUUUUCAUUUUCUGUGUGUUUCCAGCUAGAGGAAUUGCUCAGCUUGCAUAUUCUGCCUACCAAAUGCUAAUCAGAGACCUCAGAAAUUCCCUUUGGGAUGCAGGAGAGAUGCACAUCAGCACUCCAGAGCCAUACAGGAUGGAAAGAGAGGAAAGUGACAGAUAAUGCUUCAAAUUAAAUGGAAGGAAAUCAUGGCGUUGGAGGAGAAAAGAGACAGGAGCAUAUAUGCGGACGACACCCAACUCCUUCUGCGCUUGGAGCCUGGAGCAACAUCAAUACCAGACAAUUUCACCCUAUGCCUGGAGGCUCUGUUGAACUGGCUACGUGCUAGUAGACUGAAGGUGAACCCGGCGAAGACUGAGAUUCUCUAGCAUGGCCGCUCGACUGGUCUGACCCAUUUGCUACCCACCUUCGAUGGUGCUGCCCUAUCUCCUUCGCCUACUGUUAAGAGCCUGGGUGUCGUUUUAGAUUCGCAGCUGACAAUGGAAGCUCAAGUCGCUGCUGCCAGCAAACAGGCCUUUUUCCACCUACGACAAGCGAGGCAACUGGCAUCCUAUCUAUCUGAUGAGGCGCUGGCAACAGUCAUCCAUGCCACGGUCACGUCUAGGCUGGACUAUUGCAACGCCCUAUAUGUUGGCCUUUCGAUGUCCACGACCCGAAAGCUCCGUAUUGUGCAGAAUGCGGCAGCCAGGCUACUCACAAGAACACCCAUGAAAUGCCACAUAACACCAGUGCUGCAGCAUCUGCAUUGGCUUCCAACUGAUUACCGUGGUCUAUAUAAGAUGCUAGUUCUGACCUUUAAAACUCUUUACGGCCAGGGCCCAUCGUACCUUAGGGACCGUCUCUCCUUCUCCCAUCAUCGGAGGUCGCAACGACCAUCCCAACGAGACUUACUUUAUGUACCGGGUCCUAGAGAAGUGCACUUGGAAAAGACCAGACGCAGAGCUUUUUCUAUUUCUGCCCCUGCCUUAUGGAAUGCCUUGCUGCCCUACAUGAGAGCCAUGCGUGAGUUAGGGCCUUUUACCCUAGCACUCAAGACCUGGCUCUUUACUAGAGCUUUUAAUCUAUGUUAAUUUUAUUAAUAUUUGUAUGUAUGUAUUUUUAUCCUUUACAAUUUUAUCUUGUAAAUCGCCUAGAGCAUCGUGGAUGGAGGGCGAUUAAUAAGUAAUUAAAUGAUGAUGAUGAUGAUGAUGAUGAUGAUAUACUGAACAGUAGUAUAAAUGUGAAACUGACCCUCCAAAAUAUGAAUAACUAAUAACAUUUUUGUUGGUUGUCUUCUGCCCUUCAAAGUAAGAGUUAUCACACAUGUUUGUAAGAUUUGGAUUUUUACUGUGAGAUACUGUUGGUGUGGGAUAAGCUGUUUUUUUAAAAAAAAAAUUUUGCUAAUGUAUUUGUUGCUUAUA